AUACCCCAAACACACAGAGACAGGGAGAAAGAGAAAGAGAGAGAGACUUUGGUAAUCCACCUAGAGAGUUGCUGACAAAGCAGCUGAGCAUGGAUGCCCAGGAGGUGAUGUGAUUCUUGUGCCCUUCUGGACGCUCAGUUAUUCACCCACGUUAGGCCUUCACUAACUACAGGAAGGGAGAGAAGAGGGCAGCUUGGAACCCAUGUGAUCAGAAGCCCCUGACCUGUAUGCUGGGUGUGCUCCGUGUAGAAGAGACUCGAGUGCCUAUUUGCCCUAAUUGGGAAAUACCGAAUUAACAUGAGAUUGACUAUUUAACUCUGCUGGAUUUCAAAGAAGCUUUUUCAUGUGAAGAUAUGGGAAAUAAGGAAAAGUACCACAAAUCGUAUCAGCAAAUAUGUUUCUUAAACGAUAGACAUGGAACCAGGAUAAUCCCUCUUUAAAUUAAAAUUCUGGUUUUCUCC
ensembl:lncRNA